GACGAACCGUGCGAACGUUGUUCGGAAUCACUGGGCUUAAAGGGCGCGUAGGCGGGCUCGCCAGUCAGGGGUGAAAGCCCACGGCUUAACCGUGGAAGUGCCUUUGAUACUGCGAGCCUCGAGGGAGGUAGGGGCGUGCGGAACUUCCGGUGGAGCGGUGAAAUGCGUAGAUAUCGGAAGGAACACCAGUGGCGAAAGCGGCGCGCUGGACCUCUUCUGACGCUGAGGCGCGAAAGCCAGGGGAGCGAACGGG
rnacentral:rRNA from 1 species